GGGCGCGUAGCUCAGCUGGUUAGAGCGCACGCCUGAUAAGCGUGAGGUCGGUGGUUCAAGUCCACUCGUGCCCA
rfam:Streptococcus macacae NCTC 11558 final_molecule, whole genome shotgun sequence.